rnacentral:rRNA from 1 species
GGAUUAGUGGCGAACGGGUGAGUAACACGUGAGUAACCUGCCCUUAACUCUGGGAUAAGCCUGGGAAACUGGGUCUAAUACCGGAUAUGACUCCUCAUCGCAUGGUGGGGGGUGGAAAGCUUUUUGUGGUUUUGGAUGGACUCGCGGCCUAUCAGCUUGUUGGUGAGGUAAUGGCUUACCAAGGCGACGACGGGUAGCCGGCCUGAGAGGGUGACCGGCCACACUGGGACUGAGACACGGCCCAGACUCCUACGGGAGGCAGCAGUGGGGAAUAUUGCACAAUGGGCGCAAGCCUGAUGCAGCGACGCCGCGUGAGGGAUGACGGCCUUCGGGUUGUAAACCUCUUUCAGUAGGGAAGAAGCGAAAGUGACGGUACCUGCAGAAGAAGCGCCGGCUAACUACGUGCCAGCAGCCGCGGUAAUACGUAGGGCGCAAGCGUUAUCCGGAAUUAUUGGGCGUAAAGAGCUCGUAGGCGGUUUGUCGCGUCUGCCGUGAAAGUCCGGGGCUCAACUCCGGAUCUGCGGUGGGUACGGGCAGACUAGAGUGAUGUAGGGGAGACUGGAAUUCCUGGUGUAGCGGUGAAAUGCGCAGAUAUCAGGAGGAACACCGAUGGCGAAGGCAGGUCUCUGGGCAUUAACUGACGCUGAGGAGCGAAAGCAUGGGGAGCGAACAGGAUUAGAUACCCUGGUAGUCCAUGCCGUAAACGUUGGGCACUAGGUGUGGGGGACAUUCCACGUUUUCCGCGCCGUAGCUAACGCAUUAAGUGCCCCGCCUGGGGAGUACGGCCGCAAGGCUAAAACUCAAAGGAAUUGACGGGGGCCCGCACAAGCGGCGGAGCAUGCGGAUUAAUUCGAUGCAACGCGAAGAACCUUACCAAGGCUUGACAUGAACCGGAAACACCUGGAGACAGGUGCCCCGCUUGCGGUCGGUUUACAGGUGGUGCAUGGUUGUCGUCAGCUCGUGUCGUGAGAUGUUGGGUUAAGUCCCGCAACGAGCGCAACCUCGUUCUAUGUUGCCAGCACGUGAUGGUGGGGACUCAUAGGAGACUGCCGGGGUCAACUCGGAAGAAGGUGGGGACGACGUCAAAUCAUCAUGCCCCUUAUGUCUUGGGCUUCACGCAUGCUACAAUGGCCGGUACAAAGGGUUGCGAUACUGUGAGGUGGAGCUAAUCCCAAAAAGCCGGUCUCAGUUCGGAUUGGGGUCUGCAACUCGACCCCAUGAAGUCGGA